CACUCUGACCCCCUUAGUCUACUUCCAAAUUUCCUUUCAAAAAAAAAAUAAAAAACAAAACAAAAAACAAAAGUACUAUUCAAACAAAACCCAAACAAAACUUUUAACGCUCUUACUCCUCGUCUCUCACUGCAACUCGUCUCUAGCUGCUAUUCGUCUCACUCGCCGAUCACCGAUCGCCAAACACCAUUACCGAUCACUCGCCAAAGGCCUUGAUCGCUCUUCUCACUCAUUGCUCACAAUUUUGUAGGGUUUCAUAAAAGAGAGGUAUGUCUAUUGAAUCAGAUUCUGAAUAUAAGAAAACGAGUAAACACAACAUUAAUGAUACUGAAGAAUCUGAUGUCAAGCCUACUUAGAGGAAAAGGAAGGGAAAAUCUAAAAUGAUUGAAUCUAAGAAAAAAGGAAAUAAGGUUGCUGGAAACUCUGAAGUGCAAGUGUAUUUAUAAUUGAGGACUGUUUACCGAAGAGUACAUAGGAGUUAUUAAAAGAGGUAUGGGGCAACGCAGUGGGAGAUGCCCUCCCCCUGGGAAAUAAAUUCAUUGUGGACCUGUGGACUUGACGAUUCCAAUCAAGUGUAUCGCACAAGCUCAACUAUUAAUACCACUGAAGAUAAUGGAUCGAAGAUGUUGAUUGUUUUGAGACAAGGUGUCGACUGUCGUCCAUAUCAUUUGUACAAUAUAAUCAAUCAACUUUCUGAAGAACAAAUUAAUUCUGUUUAAGAAAUUGGGUUUGAGGGCUUGCUCCAUUUAAGGGUGACGAACUAAUUACCAAAAUGCUUCCUUGGUUAAUUAAUAAUUUUGACUAAAGUAGUCGUUACAUUGAAAUACAUUCUAGAGUUGGAUUUGUAUUGACCCUAUACGACGUGCAUGAUUUUUUUGGUCUUCCUUUGAUUGAGGGAAACAACGUCAUUGAGUGUCGUAUGAAUGUUAAAGAUAAUCCUGAUUUCCAUUUUAAAAAGAGUUAAAAAACAUCUUUAAUUUGGACAAAGAUCUAACUUUGCAAAUGGUGGAGAAAAAAAUAUUGAAAUUGAAAGAAGUGAUGAGACUUUUAAAAAAUUGUUUGUGAUUCAUGCUUUCUCAAGCUUUUUGACUCCGCAUCAGAAGAAGUUAGUAGAUAUGAUGUUGGCAAUAUUAGUGUCAAAUGUGGAUCAAAUUAAAAGCUACGAUUGAUGCCCCUAUGUUAUUGACAAAUUUUGUGAAGCGACAAGGCUUACAAAAAUGGUAACUUGCAAUUUCAUUGUGGUUGUUUAAUUUUGUUGGAGAUCGUUUAUUAUCGUUUGAGGUUUACAUAUAUUGGAAAACAAACUAAUUUGCGUUUUGGGUUUGGGAUUCUUGAAACUGAAACUUAUCCUAUAAGCAGAAAGUUGGGGAAUCUCUAAAUUUUGUCCACCUAGACAUGAUGUACUAUUUCGAAAUCCUCACAAUAGAAAACAUAUGUAAAAUUCUUAUGAUGUGGUAGCACAACCAUCAAAACUCCUUAAAACUCUUACACGAACAUGUUAUUGUAUCAACCUUGGAUUUCACUUUAUGUGAGGAGUGUUCAAUGUCGGGAAAUAUGACUUGGUACUUGUUACCAUGUGUAACGUCAUGUUCAUGUACUUGAUUCACUAUUGUAACCGUGGCAUUUAUAAAUUUAUUUUCAAAACCACGAAAAUGUGUCUCCGUGUAAACCUCUGAGGCAUGCUCUAGUAGCCCAAUUAGGGGCAUAUGUGAAGUUGGGACUAAUUUUGUACCGUAAAACUCAUCAAUUUCCAACCAGAAACUUUCUGAUAAUCCAGACUUCUUUUAUCAAGUUAGACUCAACAAAGAAGAUCGGAUUUGUUGUAUAUUUUGGAGAGAUGAUGUGAUGUUGGAAGAUUAUAAGAUAUUCGGUGAUGUGAUUGUAAUGGACACAACUUAUAAGAAGAACAAGUAUAAUCUCAUAUGUGCCCUCUUUGUUCGUAUUAACAACCAUUUGAAGAACACAGUGUUUGCUUGAGCAUUUAUGAGAGGUGAGACUGUUGAGUCAUUCGUAUGGCUUCUUAACACUUUUAUUAAGUCAAUGGGCGAAAAGUGUCUAGAGACCAUAUUUACAGACCAAGAUGCAGCCAUGUAGGCAAUAAAAAACUGUUUUCCUGGAUCAAGGCACAGAUGUUUGGCACAUAACUCAGAAUGUUGUUAAGCGGUACGAUGCACUAAAGAAGGACACAACAUUCAAGAAAACCUUCCACAAGUGCUUGAGUGGAUGCUCAAACAAGGAUGAGUUUGAGGCGUGUUGGAAGUUGAUGAUAACAACAUAUAAGCUAGAGAAUAACAAAUGGUUCAAUAGGUUGUAUAAUUUGAACGAAAAGGGGCAACGACGUUAAGUAAAGACUUCUUCUCGGCUGGUAUUCUAUCUUCACGGAGAAAUGAAAGCUCAAACCGUGCAGUUGGUUUUCGAGCCAAUAAAAGGACAACCUUGAUUGAGUUCUUCCACAUGUUUGAGGACACAAUGAUACGUUAGACAAGUUUAGAAAUUUAUGAUAAGUUUCACCAUACAAAAUCAGUCCCAACUUCACAUAUGCCCCUGAUUGGACUACUGGAGCAUGCCUCGAAGGUUUACACAGAGACACUUUUUCGUGAUUUUGAGAAUUAAUUUACACAUGCCAUGGAUACAAUUGUGAAUCAAGUACAUGAGCAUGGCGUUACAAAUGGUAACAAGUACCAAGUCAUAUUUCUUGGCAGUUGGCACUGAACACUCCUCACAUGAAGUGACAUAUAAUAAAUUUGCUAUGCUUGUAAGCCUUGUCAGCUUCACAAAAUCUGUCAAUAGAAUAAGAGCACCAAUUAUAGGUUUUAAUUUGAUCCACAUUUGACUCUCCUAUUGCCAACCUCAUAUCUUCUCACCAUCUUCUUUCAAUUCCAAUGUUUUCUUCUCUGCCAUUUGCAAAGGUACCCUUGUCUAAAUUUAAGAUAUCCUUUAACUUCCUUUUAAAAUGCAAUUCAGGGUCAUCUUUAACAUUCCUAUACAGUUAAUAAAGUUGUUCCCUCUUUCAAAGGAAGACCGAAAACAUUAUGCACGUCAUACGGGGUCAAUACUAAUCUAAUUCUAGGACUUAUUUCAAAGUAACGACUACUUUGGUCAAAAUUGUUAACUAACCAGGAAAGCAUUUUGGUAAUUGAAUCAUCGCCUUUAAAUGGAGCAAACCCUCAAACCCAAUUUCUUUUAACAGAAUUAAUUUGUUCUUCAGAAAGUUGAUAGAUUGUAUUCAACCAUCACAACCUCUUCUUCACUCCCAAUCCACAUUCCCCUUUUUUCUAUAUUCCCAAAACCAAUUUCAUUUCUCUCCUUCUUAGACAAAAUAUUCUGACAUUGACAUGACCUUCUUGAUGAAGUAAACCCAGAUGAAUAUAUCAUCUUUAACCCACUUGAAAAUUUUUAAGGUUUGAAGGUGGUGAUGAGUUGAAUCAGAAUGUGGUGCGACUAGGUCUUGGGCCUGGGUUGUAAAGGGGUUCUGGGACCUGUAAUUUUGUGGGUAGGGUUGUGCGCCACUAAAGAAAAGCAAUUGGCGGUGAUGGUAGUGGCUGCGUGAUGGUAUCUCCGGUGAGAGGGAGGGGUGGCAGUGUGGCUGAAUUGUUAAGGGGUAGGGAUGGCAAUUCAUUCCAGUCCGAAUAUGACCCUAGUCCGACUCGAUCCGAAGAAAAUAAUCCGAUUCGAGUCCGAGGAAAAGUUAUCCGACUCCAACUCCGACUUCACGAUUCAAAUUCGAGUUAGAGACGGACCAGAGUUGGACCUUAUUAAAAAUCCGACACUCCGACCCGACUCCGACCCUGAAGGAAAUCUGACUUUGAAUUUGACUUUUAACCCAAUAUUUUAUUUCCUUUAAAACUCUAGACGUGACUAAUUCAAGCUCUCUCAUACUAAUUGUAAUUUUCGAUUUUGAAAAACUACUUGGUAUUUUUAUUUAGAUCGAUCAUUCAAUCAAAAUACGACAUAUUAGAUCAAGAGAAAUAAAAUACGUUAAAUCAAAAUGCGAGAAAAUUUUGUUAAAUUGUAGUAUUAGGAAUAUUUCUCAUAUUAAACUUGAAUUCAAAGUACAUAUUUUUUUGUUAAAUUGUAUUUGAAAAAUAUAUUUUGUUAACUUCGUAUGUUUUAAAUCAUUAGUACAAUAUCACAACGAUAAAGUUUGAUAAUAAUCCGACUCCGUAUCCGACUCCGUUGGAGGUCCGAGUCGGGCAAACUUGGAGUAUGCAUAAUCCAACUCCGAGUGGAGGUGGACUGAAAAAAAAAGUUCGACUAAAAUCCGGAGCAAAGUCAGAGUAUGUAUAAUUCGAGCCGAGUCCGACCCAUUGCCAUCCCUAUUAAGGGGUAUAUAUUUUUUUAAAAAUUUUUUUAAUUGUAAUUUAUCAUCUUUCUAAUUCAAAAUGACUUCUUCAACAAGUAGCAGGUAACCUAAAUGUACCGAAAGCAAAGAUCUUCUUAAGGUCAGAUUAUUUAUGGUUAAUCAAUAUGUGAGAUUAUUGUAGAAAAAUCCCAAAAAUGUUGGAUUAUUUAGGGUAAUUUUUCAUUAUAUAUA